rnacentral:lncRNA from 1 species
AGUAUUCACGUGGAAGUUCAUUACGCGUGGAAUACGCUCGCGCAUAAUCUGCCUUCAAUUCGAUCAUUUGCCGAUAUAACAGCCAUCGAGUAUUAAAGACGAUUGGAUGGCGAAGCACGUGUGAAUGGAUCAUUAUCGACGUUUUAUUAAACAACAAGUCCUGCGUGUUAAUUGUCAGAGCACAUUAACGUCACGAAAUCACACAUCUGUGUUGAUGGCAUUUUGAAAAACGAUCGACCCAUCAAUCUUUUUUCCCAUCUUUCUUCCACAUGUCGAAUCAACUACGAACAUUAUCCCUUGGCUCACACUGGUGUCACCGUCCUUUUCUCUUUCGAUGAAGCCGAUGUAACAAUGUAAAACUCAGCGCUCUAUUUUUUCUCAUCCAGAUUUAGUGGAAAAUAUCGGGAUUUUUUCUACAGUUGCAGCGAUUGUUCGUGGCGCACGGAUGGAAUGAUCGAUGGUUAAAUUAGUUUUAUUAUCGUUAGAGAAGUUUUCGUCGGUUUCGAUUUGCUUUCCACGUUUUGAAGAUUCAUACAGGCGAAAAAUUGACAGUGGUUUACACAAUUGGUUUAUUCGAUGUUCAGACCAGAUUAUGCUACUUUGUUAAGCUAUUGAAUGUUAAGCUGAUUUCCAUCGUUGGAAAUACUUUUCGCCAGCGAAUCGAUGUUUCUCCUUCUCGUGGAUCUACUUAGAGGAGAAAUCCCUGGUUCAUUAGCAGAAAAGAAUUCAAUAAGAAGGAUUUUCCUGAUUUUCGCCAACGUGUAACGGAAGCAUAUAAAUUUAUAAUAUUAUUUGUACGUACAAAGGUCAGUGAAAAUAUUUGGAUUAAGAAGCUUUCACGACAAUAACCACGAUAGUUGGGUCUCGUUGCGGACUAAUCAAAUUUUUAAAUGUGUGCUGGCACUUGGCAACAAUGUAUAUCGCCGAAGCGACGUGCCUAAUGAGCCAUCAAUAUCCCAA